GACGAACGCUGGCGGCGUGCCUAAUACAUGCAAGUCGAACGCAGUGAUGACGGGUGAGUAACACGUGGGUAAGCUCCCAUCAGGGGGGAUAACACUUGGAAACAGGUGUUAAACCGAAAUUGAUGGCUGACGCGGCGGAGCAUUAGCUAGUUGGUGAGGUAACGGCUCACCAAGGGCACGAUGCAUAGCUGACCUUAGAGGGUGAUCGGCCACACUGGGAAUGAGACACGGCCCAGACUCCUACGGGAGGCAGCAGUAGGGAAUCUUCGGCAAUGGACGAAAGUCUGAUCGAGCAACGCCGCGUGAGUGAAGAAGGUUUUCGGAUCGUAAAGCUCUGUUGUUAGAGAAGCGGUAUCUAACCAGAAAGCCACGGCUAACUACGUGCCAGCAGCCGCGGUAAUUC
rnacentral:rRNA from 1 species